GAUCGUAACAAGGUCUCGUUGGUGAACCAGCGGAGGGAUCAUUAUAGAGUUUUCUAAACUCCCAAACCCAUGUGAACUUACCAUUGUUGCCUCGGCAGAACCUACCCGGGUACCUACCCUGGUAACGGUUCUGGCCGGUUGGACUUCUUUAAACUCUUGUUAUUUUUAUAGUAAUCUGAGCGUCUUAUUUUAAUAAGUCAA
rnacentral:misc_RNA from 1 species